rnacentral:tRNA from 1 species
GGGGUAGUCUGCUAGUCUGGUUAGGCGGCCACCUUGGGGUGGUUGUGACCCGAGUUCAAAUCUCGGCUACCCCA